GACGAACGCUGGCGGCGUGCCUAAUACAUGCAAGUUGAGCGCUGAAGGUUGGUACUUGUACCGACUGGCUGAGCAGCGAACGGGUGAGUAACGCGUGGGGAAUCUGCCUUUGAGCGGGGGACAACAUUUGGAAACGAAUGCUAAUACCGCAUAAAAACUUUAAACACAAGUUUUAAGUUUGAAAGAUGCAAUUGCAUCACUCAAAGAUGAUCCCGCGUUGUAUUAGCUAGUUGGUGAGGUAAAGGCUCACCAAGGCGAUGAUACAUAGCCGACCUGAGAGGGUGAUCGGCCACAUUGGGACUGAGACACGGCCCAAACUCCUACGGGAGGCAGCAGUAGGGAAUCUUCGGCAAUGGACGAAAGUCUGACCGAGCAACGCCGCGUGAGUGAAGAAGGGUUUCGGAUCGUAAAACUCUGUUGGUAGAGAGGAACGUUGGUGAGAGUGGAAAGCUCAUCAAGUGACGGUAACUACCCAGAAAGGGACGGCUAACUACGUG
rnacentral:rRNA from 1 species